AACGAACGCUGGCGGCAGGCUUAAUACAUGCAAGUCGAGCGGGCACUUCGGUGUCAGCGGCGCACGGGGGCGUAACGCGUGGGAACAUGCCUUUAGGUACGGAACAACCAAGGGAAACUUUGGCUAAUACCGUAUAAUAUCUCUGGAUCAAAGAUUUAUCGCCUAACGAUUGGCCCGCGUUAGAUUAGGUAGUUGGUGGGGUAAUGGCCUACCAAGCCGACGAUCUAUAGGGGGUCUGAGAGGAUGAUCCCCCACACUGGAACUGAGAAACGGUCCAGACUCCUACGGGAGGCAGCAGUAAGGAAUAUUGGACAAUGGGCGAAAGCCUGAUCCAGCCAUGCCGCGUGAGUGAUGAAGGCAUUAGGGUUGUAAAGCUCUUUUAGAUGGGAAGAUAAUGACUGUACCAUCAGAAUAAGCCCCGGCUAACUUCGUG
rnacentral:rRNA from 1 species